CCCUCGAGUGAUAACCCCGCCAGAGGACAUCCCUUCGCCGACGCCAUUGCGCUCGCAACAAGGAUCCCUGCGCUAUCUCCGUUAACGUUCGCCGCCAUCGAUCCCUUCACCGCCGAACCCCUUGCCAUCGCGCUCGCAACAAGGAUCGAGGCCUCCAGACUGCCCUCCAUCCGUGCACUAUCUCCGUUGGCCGCCGCCGCCGCCUCCGAUCCCCUUCAGGAGCCUACGCCCUAGGUCACAUCGGCGCCGCUGCUACGCCGCCGCCACCAUUCCGCUCGCACGCUGCCAUCACCAUCACCCCUCUCGCAUGCCUCUGCCGCCAUCACCCAUUGUCGCAGCUCGGAUGUGGAGCUCGUGUGCCAUGGCCGCCAUGGCAUCCAUGGCCGACACGAGGGGACCCUCGGCCUCGGCCGUGGCUGCCUGCUCGGGAAACGGGGUCGCCACGUCCGACUCCCCUAGCGCCUCGUGGACCGGCAUCAGAGUCCCCAGGUCCGCCGCCAUCGAACUCAGGUACGCCUCGACGGACAUGGUCGAUCAAGUGAUCUAAUCUGAUCCCAUGUUCCGAAGUCCUAAUGAGAACGUACUCCUACGUGGAUCCAAGUCCGAGUUGGGAGCGACGUCGAUCUGAUGAACGUGCAAGGAUUUCUGAAUCCAAGACUUAUAUUUUACUAUAUAUGUUCACUGGUUAUUCAAUUCAAUUGUUCGUACAACAGCAGAUUUUUUUUCUUUUAGCACAAAUUCCAGUAGUUGUGUUUGCUUCUUUUGAAGAUCACCAGCCAUAUCACAACUGUUCCCAUCCAACAGGUUAAGCAGAACUGCAAAAGCAACAACAAAUUUUCUAUGGUACAUUGUUUUUUUAGUUUCAGUCCAUCAAAUUCUCUGGUUGAAAUGUGUGUGUCUUGCUGCAGCGGCCAGUGCAGUUUCGACUUCAGUUCAGAGUCACACUCUCUCUUGCUGCUCUCUGCCAUCUAGAUCAGCCCUGGAUCUAGACGAUUUCAUGCCCUCCAUUGCGGUUGUUGCUAUAAUAUGAUUUAUUACAACUUGUUUGAAUGGGUUAGAAGGGAGUGACGAACUGUUUCAUGAGCUUUCAUGUACCUUCCAAUUUCAUUGUCAUUUGAAGUGUGAACUUGCUUCAAACAGUCAAUUUGCCUUCCUGCCACAAUAUUUCUCGGCAACGGUGGCCAAACGAGACCGCCCUCCACGCCGGGACGCUGACACGCCGGCCUGCAUGUCCCUGCUCCGACGGACGCACCAAACUCCACAACUUCCCCGCAAUCUGACCACGGGCAGACACACUUUCUUCAGGGGAAUUCAGGUUACAGUACUGUGUAAUCAUGGAGCACAGAGCAGAGCCUCUCCGAUCGGAAAAUUUGGACGUGAAGAGAACACCUUAAAUUAGUUAAGCGGUACACGUUUACUCGAGUGCUCUAACAGCUACACUAACCUGGCAGAAUAUGACCAGAAUUCAGUAGUGUCAUGAGGCCUGUGGUGGCCAAGGUUUGAAGACCGAGUUUUCAAAGCUGAACUGAUGUCCAGUCUAGAUCUGAGGGUGACAACAACAUUCUACUUCUACUGCAGCAGGUCAGAGAAGCCAAAAGGAGGAGCCAUGACUAGCUCCGUUUUCUCGCAGUGACGAUGGCCUUCCUCUAACAUCAGCUUCCAAAAGGAUACUAUUGUGAGAUUGUAUGAUACAUAAAAGACGGCCUCAAGCCCCUAGACGGAAGCAUCCAGUCUCGCUGUUCUACCAAGUUCGCCGGAACGCAGACCGCGUGUGGUCCACCUCAGUUAAUUUGCCUUCCUGCCACAAAAUUUCUCGGCAACAGUGGUUGUAUUGGAAACAUCAGCUUCCAAAAGGAUACUAUUGUGAGAUGGUAUGAUACAUAAAAGACAGGCUCAAGCCCCUGUACUGGAGCAUCCAGUCUCGCCGUUCUACCAAGUUCGCCGGAACGCCAACCGCGUGUGCUCCACCUGAAGUACGCCGUUCUAAAAUUCACACAUCCAAGCCAUGAGUAGCCCUAAAGUAGCAAGUUGUUAUAUUUCAAAAUUUAUUUGUAGGAGCAUGUGUUUCGGGCUUUAUACUUCACCAUGAUCUUUUACUGUGUGCAUGUAACCAUACCGUCUACUAGAUCAUGGAAGGCGCGCGUUGCUGCGCCCGUCUGUUUGUAAUAUUGAAUAUUAAUGUUCAAAGAAAAUAUUGAAUAAUUGCUGGAAC